GGGGAGGACAGCACUGAAUAUGAGAACAGUAUUCGCCUAAAAGGCUCAGCUCUGCCUGCACAGGGCCUGGGCUCUUCCUCUACUUCCCCUGAAAUCUCAACUGAGAGUCCCUAUCAGAUGUUGGACACAACUAGAGUGGAUGUUUAUGAAAAGAUCACUCCCUGGAAGAACCUUCAAGCAUAAGGCAGAGGAAGAAGUCUCUAGGGAUGUUGUCAUAGUCCCUCUGCUUCACUUCAUUAAGGGGGAUUGAGAGGCAUCUUUCAGGAGAGAAAGUUGAGAAAUCUGGGUCAGUGGGAAAACCAAUCAGGAGAGAGGUGUAAUAGAAUUGGCAGGUAUCCCAAUGACGUCAAGGGCAGAAAGAAAGGAGCCAUAAGUAUAUGACUAUGUAUAGCAGCAGUGUUUAUUUUAGCUGGGCAUUCAUCCAC